CCCAAAAUGUGUGAGACUCAUGAUCAGAGAAUCCUGAUUCUCAAUCAUAGAGUCCCAGACAUGUAGGACUCAUAGUAUACGAGCGUUAGGACUCUUCAUCAGCCAUCAGAUUAGAUAGAAACUUCUAAUGUGUGUGACCCCGUAGGUUCGAACCUAAGCCUGUAGCACAGGAACCAAUUCCUGUACUAAUCGAAGUGACCAUCUAGCAAUGGUACCCG
rnacentral:lncRNA from 1 species